rnacentral:rRNA from 1 species
GAUCAUGGCUCAGGACGAACGCUGGCGGCGUGCUUAACACAUGCAAGUCGAACGAAAAGAGGGAAAGAGCUUGCUCUUUCCGGAAUUGAGUGGCAAACGGGUGAGUAACACGUAAACAACCUGCCUUCAGGAUGGGGGACAACAGACGGAAACGACUGCUAAUACCGAAUAAGUUCCAAGAGCCGCAUGGCCCAUGGAAGAAAAGGUGGCCUCUACCUGUAAGCUAUCGCCUGAAGAGGGGUUUGCGU